rnacentral:misc_RNA from 1 species
UAUGACUUCAGAUUGUUUGUUUGGAGAUAAACUCCCAUCAAAUCGCAUGCAUGUAUGUAUGUUUUAAUGACGAUAUAUGCUAAAGCUUUUUCGUCUGUUAUAGAUUCUGAAUUGGUAUCAUAAUAAAAAAGUAAAUACUUCCCGAAUCGGAAGUCUAAUUGUGCCUCUUACAUUAAAACGCAGAUUUGUAAUUACUGUUUUCAAUACCUUUGUUAGAAAAUUUAUUUUCGACAGUUUUAUAACAGGACAUAUCAAGAAGCAUGUGAACUAUUUUUAUCUCCAUAUGUCAGAUAAUAAAAAGACAAAUUAUUAAGAAUCAGUAAGUUUCGUGCGUUUAACCAAUUGAAGUCUCAAUGUAAUUAUGAGUGAUACAAUACUUUUACUGACGGAAAUAGGAGAAAAAAUAAGCGGCGGUUCAAAUAGAAAAUCUUUCAAUUUGCUCUACAGCGCAUCAAAAACAGUAGAUGUAGACAAUUUUCAUUUAAAAUGUGACGCAAAGGGCCCAACCGUGACCCUAUUAUAUGGAAAGUUCAACACCUUAUUUGGUGGCUAUACCUCCAAAAGCUGGACUUCAACUGACAAUCAGACAAAACAAGAUGAUGGUGCUUUCUUGUUUUACAAGGAUGAAAGUCCAGGGGCAAAAUGCAAAUUUCUGCCAAUCAAAAAGGACAAAACUCAUAAAGCUAUAACAUGUGAUGCAAGCUUUGGUCCAACAUUCGGCGGAGGCUCUAAGAAAAAAUACGACCUUCAAGUAUUCAAAAAGAACGAUAACGCACAGCCGGAAACUUCAGACGACUGCAUGCAUCUGAACGGGUCGAUGAAAGUAGGACGAGCAUAUGACGAAGAAACAACAAAUAAACGUGGCAAAACAAAAAACAAGACAAACGAUAUCAAUUCGGGAAAAUUGAUAGUUACAUGUGUUGAAGUGUACCAAGUCAUUGAUGACGAAUUAACGGUCAACUGGAAAAGAAAACCAGAGGAUGAAGACUGCAAUAAUAUGAAAAAGGAGCUCAUAGGAAUGGAACAACCAGGGCUUAAUGUAGAACAGUACAAUAUACUACUCGUUGGAGUGAUUGGUUCUGGUAAAUCUAGCUUCUACAACACUCUAGCAUCAGUUUUUUCUGGAACGGUUAUACAUCCUGCCGUAGCAAGAGCUGAACACACAAGUGUUACAAAUAAGGUAGAACACUACGACCUUAAAUCAGGAAAUGGUACAAAAUUAAAGAUACGAAUAACUGACAUUCGAGGAUUUGAAGAUGUGAGAGGUCUUGACGGAGAGCUUCGGCAUCUGCUUAAUGGCGAGUUAUCAGCUGAUUAUAAAUUUAAGGAUAAAGCAGGGCCAUCCAAGAGUGAUCUACGAACAAAUGCAACAUUAAAUGACGAAAUUCACCUUGUUUGCUUCGUUUCCGGCAAUACAAACUUUGAUGCACUCACGAGCACACUUCACAGUCACAUCAAAGCAAUCAAAGAGAUAAUAAAUGAUAAAGGUUUACCGAUAGCUGUAAUAGCAACAAAAGUUGAUGAGUUAUGCCCACUUGUACCUGGAAAUGUUGACCAUGUCUACAAAUGUUCCAAAGCUAGGGACGCUGCAAAAAGAGUAGCUGAUUUCUAUGGAGUACCUCUGACACACGUUUUUCCGGUUGUCAAUUACGUAAAUGAGGAGGAAAAUGACGUCGAAAUUGAUAGACUGGCGCUGCAAGCUGUGCAUGGAACGUACAAGUUGAUGCAUACCCGCUUCAGCGAACAUAAAGGCUUGGUGAAAAUGUCCAGUGAAUGGGAAAAGAGAGUGACAAAACUUCCUAAUUUGAACGAUUCUAAAGCAAAGGAAGAAGUACUGAAAGAAUUACAGCAUGAACUGACAAAACUUCAAGACAGAAAACUGCGUGUUCUAUUAGUUGGACCUGUAAACUCUGGAAAAUCAAGCUUUAUUGAUUCAUUGACAUCGGCACUCACAGAUGAUAUUGCGUUCACAGUAGCUGGGAGUUACUCGUCGGGUAGUAAUCUCAAAAACUGUUCCUCUACUAAAAUGUUUAAAAUGUAUGAGGUUAAACACAAACUUCUCGACAAUAGUAACGUUUAUUUUGGAGACAGCCCCGGUUUUCAAGACAAAGGAGGCAUAACAAGGCAGGAUGUAAACUUCAUUUUGGAUGGACACGUGCCAAACAAUUACCAAGUAUAUAAUCGGUUUUGUCUUUUAGUUCUUAAAAUAUAGAAUAAUUUACUUUUAAUGUGUAAAAAUAUGUAUUUACAAAUUAACUGUUUGUAUAAUAUAUGUUGAGAUAAAAAAAAUCAUGAAUUGUAGCUGCUACAUGUAUAUAAUAAAAAGGUCAUUUAAGCAGUAUCUUGACAUCGUGGACCACAACUCAAGCGACGCGAGGGAUCAAAGCCUUGUAAAAUCCACUAGUCUAAGAGCCGAAUACAAAAUAGCAGAUCAAGGUGCUGUUAUAAUAUAUAAGCCCUUUAUAUAACUAAACUUUGUCUUAAAACCCGGUUAAAAAUUGUACAACUUGAACAAGCUACUUGGCCACAAUAAGAAUGAUUGUGUCCUAUGUCUAAUAUUAAGAUUUUUCUUACAUAAUUUAGAUAUUGAAUGGAACUGAGAAAAAAUCAAAGCAUUCCCUUAUGCCUCCAAACAAAAGCGAUAAGAUACACUGUGUCUGUUUUAUUUUCGAUUGUGAAUCUAUUAAGGAAGGAUUAUUAGAUACACUUAAAGACACAGCAAUGAAUGUAAUGACCGACGUUGAAGGAAAAGGUAUCAAGACCGUUUUCAUAUUGACGAAAUGCGAUAAGGUCAGUGAAUCUGUGAGGGUAGAUAAAAGAAAGGUCUUUGAAGACAAUAGCGUACGAGAUUGCAAAGAGAAACUCAUGGCAAUGUUUUCUCUAAAGAGUCAGACAUUGAUAUAUCCAGUAGUUAACUACGUUGAUGAAAAUAAUACGGAUCUUCCGGUUGAUGCUCUGAUCAUAGCGGCAUUCAAGCAAAUUCUGAAGUUUGGGAAAGAAUGUUUGGAGAUGUUGGAUAACGCUGAAGAAGAAGGCGGUGCAAAUUCAGAGGCAUACAAUUAAGUUUAUAAACAUACAUAUCAUUAUGGAGCGGACACCGAGACAUCUUCUUUCACGAUAAAUAUCGCUGUAUUAAUGUUUAUUAACUGAAGACUGGCCAGCUUCUGUGCUGUAGUUACAGUGCUUAAACCCACAGUCAAGAGCAAAUAUGUUAUGCACAUAACAAGUUAACUAGUAUGAUUUAUUCAGGUAUUGCGCUGACGUAAAGUCUAAUUCCACUAAUCGUUGAAACUGUUUAAUGAUCAUUUAAUGGACUUGGACGAUUUCCUAACCCUACUUUUUAAUAGGCUGCAAAUGGUAUAUUCUCUCAUGUACUGAACCGUUUAAAGGACCUGAAGGUAACAAUCAUACACAGAAAUAGCCGGUAAUAAGUAUCUAGCCUAAGUGAGAGUAUAUUGCAUUUCUUGUUACAAGGGAUAUUUAAGAGGACCGCCCAAGCAGUUAAUAAAGUUCACAUUUACAUUAAUAUUUCCAUAAGAACAAUCCAUUCUUUAAGUUUCAGCAUAUUACUUUGUUAUUCAUAAUUCAUCAAAUUUCUUUCUAAAAGGAGGCAAAUAGCAGGACUUAGUUUAAGUACAUAUGGAUUUCUAUAUGCAUUAUAAAUACAAUUAAAAAGUCGACCAACACCAAAUGAUUGGUAUCUAAAGGAGAGUCUUACGUCGUGCAUAUUUAUACUACUGGUUAUUAAAGGUUUAUAAACAAAAAUUGAUUCUGUAUGUAUUAAAGUAUCAAUAAGUGAAAUAUCAUUCUAUGCAUCAUGAAUUAUGUAUUGCAAGAACAAUAAUAUUCAAAGAUAAGUCUUUGUCUUUUACAUUUUCGGUCAAUUAUAUCUAAAAAUAAUAUUUGCGUGCGCAUGUAUGCAGGCGAAGAUACCAUUACGUGUCAAAUUCUUCCAAUCAAAAUUGAAGGAUUAUAUUGCUCAAAAUCGUAUAUAUGUACCAAGAAACGUUCAAGUGCAACAACACUUAUUUCUUGAU